rnacentral:rRNA from 1 species
CCUACGGGUGGCUGCAGUGGGGGAUAUUGCACAAUGGGGGGAAGCCUGAUGCAGCGAAGCCGCGUGGGUGAAGAAGCGCCUAGGCGCGUUAAGCCUCGUCAGCAGGGAAGUAAAUGACGGUACCUGUAGCAGCAGCCACGGCAAUCUACGUGCCAGCAGCCGCGGUAAUACGGGGGGGGCCAGCGUUAUCCGGAUUUACUGGGUGUAAGGGGGCGCAGACGGCGAUGCAAGCCAGGAGUGAAAGCCCGGGGCCCAACCCCGGGACUGCUCGUGGAACUGCGUGGCUUGAGUGCAGGAGGGGCAGGCGGAAUGCCUGGUGUAGCGGUGAAAUGCGUAGAUAUCAGGAGGAACACCGGUGGCGAAGGCGGCCUGCUGGACUGCAACUGACGUUGAGGCCCGAAAGCGUGGGGAGCAAACAGGAGUAGAUACCCCUGUAGUC